CUUGCGCUCCUCGCCCCUCUCCCCCCGGGAGCCCCGCCCCCCGCGCAGCGCCCUGAGCCACCGUCUCGCGCCUCCUGGCGUCCUCCCGAUCCCCUCUCUCAGGGCUUCCCGCGGGCCCCCCGCUUUUCGGGGCUCCCCUCGGCCAGCGCCGGAGGUGGCUGGCGCGUCCCCGGGUCCGCGCCUGGCGGCCUGACGGGACUGCUGGGGGUGACCGCCAUAGCGCCACGUGGUCACUUGUUUGACAAAGGAAACUUUUUUCUCCCUCCGAAGUGCUGCAUUUCUGGACCGAGCCACCGGCCGCCUUAUGCCUAUUGUAUCCCUUUCCCUGCCGAGCCAUCUUUUUCGCUUUCUUGGAGCUGUCCCAAACCUGGGCCAGGGUCCUGGCGCGGUGAGCUGAUGGAAGGGGGCUGGCGGUUCGGGGCAGCGAGGGCGCCGAAGGUGAAGACGUUUUCCCCGAGCCGGCCGCGGGGCCUUUGCUUUCUUUUGGAAUCUCAGAAAUCACGAGGACUCUAGGCGGCUUGAUGUUUGCAAACCCACUGAAGAGCGGCAGGAAGUUUUCAUAGGCAGAUAGAGAUACUGAGCCAUCAAAGGAAAAAACUUCACCUGAGAUCAUCCCCCAUCGCCCCUCAUGUGAUGGAACGGAGAGUCACAAAACAGAGUUUCCUUUGCCUUUUGUUAAAUCUCUAACAUUAGAUUAAUGUGUCUAAGGUUAAUUACUGGAUUAUUAAUAAUAAACUGGGUUUAUGGCUACAGUUUAUUAAAGCUUCCAAAUUACUCAUUAGUAAAACACAGCACUAAUUUUUUCAGUAUCAUAACUGAAUACCUGAGAUGAUCACCAACAUUUCCAUUAUACGUCUGACAUCUCAGCUAACAGUUGCCGGCCUGGGACUCCUCUCCCCAGGAGAACAGGCGAAUGGUCCGGGAAACAUGAAGACAGACUUCAUGGCCUUGGAGGAGAACACAGGACGGUCUCCAAACUCCCACCCAAAGAAUAAGCCAGCUUCGCAGGGUUAUGCAGCACCAAGGGGCUCUUCAACAUCCCCUGCAGGUCCACUAGUCUCCACCCCGGCCCGCUCGCACCGGGAGUCCACUCCAUCACUCUCCUCCCCCAGCCCCGCCAGCCUGCCACCUCCAUCACGGUGCUGUCGGCCACUCUCAUCCUUAUAGCCUGAGCUCCAUACGUGAAGUGUUUGCCUCCUGACAUUCAAAGCUAAGCUUCUGAAACUCAAGAAAAACAAAAACCCCUCUUUCUCCUACAUACACAUGGAACUGGUACAUAUAAGUCAGAAACAUCUUGGAUAUCAACUUUCCUGCUUUUUCUGUGUUGAGAAAGACGAUUGGCCCUUCAUUCUGCCGGGUGCUUUUGCAUCUUCUCCUCCAUGGGGGCCAAUGUUCCCCAGCCGGAAGACUGUGUCUCCCCCAGUGGAGGAGGUCAUGGGCUGAGAAGAGAAAGCAUGUCUUCAUAGAGGCAGCGGGUGGGAUGUGGAACAAGGCAGCCCGCAGCCCGGUACUGUCACCACUGUUGGUGCAGUGUGACGUGGACAAAUUUCCACAUACAUAAAGUACUUCAAAGAGCGCCUGGCACAGAUUAAGCUCUCAAAGCUAUUAGGAUCUCAGAAUUAAAUUCCACCACCAGAGCAGAGUGGGAUAUGGCUGGAUGGCACGCGUUUAUGAGGAACGUUGUGUGGAGAGACCUCCACUCUGGAGGACGAGAGAGGAAGUUCUGGGAGCUGCCAGACUUCAGAGAAGAUACGAAUGGGCUGUGAAG